rnacentral:rRNA from 1 species
UACGUAGGUGGCAAGCGUUGUCCGGAAUUAUUGGGCGUAAAGCGCGCGCAGGCGGUCCUUUAAGUCUGAUGUGAAAUCUCCGGGCUCAACCCGGAAAUGGCAUUGGAUACUAUUCGGCUCGAGGUCUGGAGGGGGGACUGGAAUACUUGGUGUAGCAGUGAAAUGCGUAGAUAUCAAGUGGAACACCAGUGGCGAAGGCGAGUCCCUGGACAGAUCCUGACGCUGAGGCACGAAAGCUAGGGAAGCAAACAGG